AUGUGAAAACCGGCUCCUACCGGCAGAGUUCGCAACGUACAACGCUUUGAGUGGACGUUCCGUAUCGUAUUAAUUCUUUUAUGCGCAAUUCGUUUGUAAUUUAGUGCGAAUAAAGUGUAAAGAUCAAGACUGUGCAAUCAAUCGAGAUCCUGUAUCCACGACAGCGUUCUUUAUUUCGACGAAAUGAAAUUAGCACCCUCGAUAAAACAACGAUUCCACGAGCGAACGAAUGAAUCAUCCAUUAAAGUACCCGACGCAUCAAGUAGUAGACGAACAAAAACCUAUCUCGACAGGAGAAUCUCUUCUUCGAACCCUCUCCUUGCUCACCUUUACUCGACAUCAAAGGGUUCACGAAUUCCGGAAAUGCGCUUCUCGAAGGAUCCCCAGGCGCUCACUCGAAAUUAGCGCGGAUUCGUCGGCGUGGUGACGUUGGGAAACGCCUGGGUAAUAUAACUUUUGCUCGUAAACGGAAGACAAAGACAGAAAGAGAGAGAGAGAGAGGGAGAGAGAGAGAGGGGAAGAGAGACUUAACGUAGGAAGAGUGGGAAACAGGGAGGGAUAAAGGGUCAUAUUGGGAGACAUGCAAGAUAUACCGAUGGCGUGUAGGGGAGAUUUGGCCCGAGGACCAAACCACUAAUCCUUGCGUAGUAAUCGAUGAUUUCCGCCCCUAAAUUGUUCCUUCCUCCGUGGGGCCAUAGACCAGGAUGAACGAAGCUUAAACGAGGGAACCGCGUUGUCGGCGCUUUUGUUCUUCUAAAAGCGGCGGUAGCGACAACGAUAUAAUUGUUUCGAUUAUUAUUGGAGACAGUCGUCGAGUUGCCUGUUUAUAUUGUAAUUACUAAGAGGUGGGUAUUAGAGGUUGAUUAUUGCGUUGAUAAUUGGUACUUAGGAUUAGCGAGAUUUUUAAAUAAUUAUGAAGAUAUUAUGAUAUUCCUGGAAUAUUAUUUAAAAUGUAAAUAUUGUUUUCAGUUAAAAAGUAAAUUCUGAAAUUACGAAAGUUAUUGAUAGUGGCUGUAGGUUCCGCGUACCGAGUACCGAAUAUGAAUUCCAAUACUCGUCGAAAAUGCUACGUGUAUUUAAUGAUCGAGUACCUACAACAAUUCUCUAUUUCAUCUUAAUAAUACAAGAUAUAUUAGCGAAGCGAUUAGGAUAAUAGCAAAAAGUGAUCAUUCCCAUCUCAGUACAAGAGACAGUUUGGUAAUUCAUGUGACAUCGCGACUAUCUUGAGACAUCUAACGCUAAUGAAACGCCCUGGGCCAAUAGGAAAUUGCGCCUUGGUAAACAUUAAUAAACUUACACACGCGUCACAUUUACUGACAUAUCGAGGUAUAGUGGAAUGUGUACAUAGUUCCUAAUUUCGAUAGUAACUUGUUUCAUUAAGGAAAUGUAACAAAAGUUCAGAAAUUUGAUUCGUCUUAUACUAUAGAAUUUCUAAAAAAAACUUAAGAGCUCGUAUAACUUAAAAUAAAGAGGAUAAAGUGACCAAUAUUAUCAAAUAUUAUAAUUUAAGUAAAUAAGAUAUAACAAUUAAUCGAUAUUGUAGUAUUUAGAAAAUCAUCGCGCAAUAAAUGUUUAGCUUCCUUAAAACUUGUAAAUUCCAAUAUAUGAUAAGAAAUCUCAAUUCCAAAUUGUUAAAACUGCUCCAGGAAGAUUGGAAUUUUAGAAAAUUGAUGUGGUAAGGGACCUUCUGAAUUCUUCAUGCUGUUCAAAAUAUUAUUUCAUUUAUGAAUUCUUUUGAGUACAAAAAUCAAUGAACGUCUCAACUUUAUUGUACAAUAAUACAAAAAACAAUUUUUCACAUUUCAUAAUUUCACAUUUUUAAC